CGGGAACCCGAAUCGAAACGAUUAUCCGACGAUAAUUGUUUCGACACGAGGAGUUGUGUUUGCUGUCAUGAUGCACGAUUAUCUAUGUUUAGUGGCAGCAGGUGACUCGUAGCUCGAGUCGGUAUGUUCCGGGACAGUUCGUGGGUCCCGGCGGAGUCCCCGUGCGAUUACGGGACUUCCGGCGUAUUACGGCGAUCGGUUUGGGAAACCGGUCCCCAAGGGUUUGCUUGUAGGUUGUGGAUUUAGUGGUUAUUAGUUGUGGGUUAGACACUAACCCGGUGGACUUUCCUUAGGUCCGGUCGACGCUCUUUCGCAGUCAGGAGACAGGCGCAGCAUUCGUACAGGUGGGUAUUUCGAUCCGACGUCGGUACAGUGGUGCACGCUCGGUGAUGGUUUCUUACCUCUGUUCUCUCGUUAUUAUCUGGCAUAUAUAUAUAUAUAUAUCUUGAUAUAUAGUAUUGAGCUUGCAUCCCCGUUGUUUUCUACUCAUAUGUUUCCUUGCUUAGUAUCAUGUGUAGGAGUAGAGUAGUUUAUCCAUACGUGAUCCCGGUGACCUGAUUAGUCGGUUCUCGUACUUCGUUUCGGUGACCUAGUUGAUCGGUGCUUUUAUCUUAUAUCUGUUGACCUGGUUGGUCGGUUGUUGCAUUAUGUAGUGGGUUGGUCUAUUUCUUGACUUCUGUCAUUCGAUGACCUUGAGGUCGGUGUACCCUGAGGGGUAGGAUUGUCGGCUGGUGCUGACGGUAGUUCUGGACUAUAUCGAAUACACUCCUAUGACCUAUCGGUCGGUUCUUGCGUUCGUACUUUUAGUUGACAUCGAGCAGUAUCUACAUACCAUCUUUAUUUACUCUGCCAAGUUGUUCUAUGUGUAGUAUCCUGUAUAGGGGUAGAGUAGACGACAUUCGUAUAUACUAUACUUGUGACCUGGUUGGUCGGUUCUCCUAUUUGCAUCGGUGACCUGUUUGGUCGUUCGUUACUUUCCGUACAUUGACCUAUCUCGGUCGGUUCACGUUGUUACUUGAUGACCUACACGGUCGGUAUGCCCAGAGGGGCAGUGAUUGUCGGCUGAUUGCCGACGGUUGGCUAUUGAUCAUAUCCGCAUUGAUCGCCACAGCUCGAGUGCAUUUCACGUACACCAGCGGGUUGAUCCCCCGCAGGAGGGUGUUCUUUUCCGGAAAAGUGGUCGUACAUCCGACCCGUGAGCCCAGCGGUGUUCUCUUUGUGCUAGGGUUACAUGCCAGGUGUGAGCAGAUAGUGGCUUUUGCCUGAGGUCCUUAGACCGACACGGCGGUUUAGAUUGGGUACUUUUGGACUUCUCGUCCGGUUGACGCAUAUAGCUAUAGUAGCGGUUGUUGCAUAUGUACUUCUAGUUCUUUCUUUACAGUUGUCAUGCUACUAUAGUUUUGAUAUCCUUGUAUGCUUGCAGUUGUACAUUACAGUAGCGGUAGUUGUGUUUUCAUAUAUAUAUAUCUCAUUCGUUCAUUAUCGUUGCUACUGUAUUUUACUUACCCAUACUGUUGGUUAUCUCUUCCUGAUCCGGUGAGUACUCCUCGCCUUCUUCGGCUUGCGGUACCCACUGGGAGGGGAGACAUGUUUACAUGUUCUCACCUCCCCCACUAUUUUUCAGGUAUCGUGGGCGAUGAGUAGUGGGACGAGACGUGAGGUACGCGUGUAGCGGUCGAUAGAGCUUUCGACCCGGGUUAAUUCGGUUUACUUUCUUACCCUUCUUAUUUUGGCUGUUGAAUAGUUUAGUUGGUUUAUGUGGUUCAGUGUUUAUUUACAUUUAAAAAUGUGGAUUUCUGAAUUUUGUAAAAUAAAAGGUUUUCAACCCCUCGUGGUAGCGUUUUUAACGAAUAAAGGUUUCCGUGUAGGGAACAGUUUUCAAAAGAAUUUUCGUGCAUUUCUAUUUAAACACUGAAUGUAAAACUGUGACGUGAAUGGUGAAUGUAUGAACGUAUAGUUAUCGUUAUAUUCAUUUGGUUGUGGUUGUUUCCUGGCUAUACUCUUGUACUUGUACGACGCCGUGCAAAUACAGGGGAGACUCUGUCCGUGUGAACAGUGGAUUCCCUGUAUUUGUGGCGGAUCUGGCAUACUCUGGGGUCAGGUUUGCAAAAAAAAAAAAUUU
rnacentral:lncRNA from 1 species